UGGGGAAUAUUGGACAAUGGGCGAAAGCCUGAUCCAGCCAUGCCGCGUGUGUGAAGAAGGUCUUCGGAUUGUAAAGCACUUUAAGUUGGGAGGAAGGGCAGUAAGCGAAUACCUUGCUGUUUUGACGUUACCGACAGAAUAAGCACCGGCUAACUCUGUGCCAGCAGCCGCGGUAAUACAGAGGGUGCAAGCGUUAAUCGGAAUUACUGGGCGUAAAGCGCGCGUAGGUGGUUCGUUAAGUUGAAUGUGAAAGCCCCGGGCUCAACCUGGGAACUGCAUCCAAAACUGGCGAGAUAGAGUAGGGCAGAGGGUGGUGGAAGUUCCUGUGUAGCGGUGAAGUGCGUAGAUAUAGGAAGGAACACCAGUGGCGAAGGCGACCACCUGGGCUCAUACUGACACUGAGGUGCGAAAGCGUGGGGAGCAAACAGG
rnacentral:rRNA from 1 species